rfam:Myotis brandtii contig279166, whole genome shotgun sequence.
AGUGGUUCUUGGAUGAUGCAUCCCAGAAUCAAGCUCCCUCCUCUCUGGUUCCAGAUGCAUCACCUGAGAAUCACA